UUUUGGACAAUGGGGGCAACCCUGAUCCAGCAAUGCCGCGUGCAGGAAGAAGGCCUUCGGGUUGUAAACUGCUUUUGUCAGGGAAGAAAUCCUGUGGGUUAAUACCUCGUGGGGAUGACGGUACCUGAAGAAUAAGCACCGGCUAACUACGUGCCAGCAGCCGCGGUAAUACGUAGGGUGCGAGCGUUAAUCGGAAUUACUGGGCGUAAAGCGUGCGCAGGCGGUUUUGUAAGACAGAGGUGAAAUCCCCGGGCUCAACCUGGGAACUGCCUUUGUGACUGCAAGGCUGGAGUACGGCAGAGGGGGAUGGAAUUCCGCGUGUAGCAGUGAAAUGCGUAGAUAUGCGGAGGAACACCGAUGGCGAAGGCAAUCCCCUGGGCCUGUACUGACGCUCAUGCACAAA
rnacentral:rRNA from 1 species